UUAUAAUGAUGACUUGCCAUGCUAAUACCGAGAAAGUAUUGACUUUCGCUGAGUUUAAUCUUGUUUUAACUCUGAUUAAU